rnacentral:rRNA from 1 species
ACGGAAGGCAGCAGUGGGGAAUAUUGGGCAAUGGGCGAAGGCCUGACCCAGCAACGCCGCGUGAGUGAAGAAGGGUUUCGGCUCGUAAAGCUCUGUCCUAUGGGACGAAGAAAAUGACGGUACGAUAGGAGGAAGCCCCGGCUAACUACGUGCCAGCAGCCGCGGUAAUACGUAGGGGGCGAGCGUUGUCCGGAAUGAUUGGGCGUAAAGGGCGCGUAGGCGGCCCGGUAAGUCUGGAGUGAAAGUCCUGCUUUCAAGGUGGGAAUUGCUUUGGAUACUGUCGGGCUCGAGUGCAGGAGAGGAAAGCGGAAUUACCGGUGUAGCGGUGAAAUGCGUAGAGAUCGGUAGGAACACCAGUGGUGAAGGCGGCUUUCUGGACUGAAACUGACGCUGAGGCGCGAAAGCGUGGGGAGCAAACAGGAUUAGAUACCCUGGUA